CCUACGGGUGGCAGCAGUGGGGGAUAUUGCACAAUGGAGGGAACCCUGAUGCAGCUACGCCGCGUGGGUGAAGAAGCGCCUCGGCGCGUACAGCCCUGUCAUCAGGGAAGAAAAUGACGGUAACUGAAGAAGAAACCCCGGCUAACUACGUACCAGCAGCCGCAGGAAUACGUAGGGGGCAAGCGUUAGCCGGAUUUACUGGUUGUAAAGGGGGCGCAGACGGCGAGGCAAGCCAGGAGUGAAAGCCCGGGGCACAAACCCGGGACUGCUCUUGGAACUGCGUGGCUGGAGUGCAGGAGGGGAAGGCGGAAUUCCUGGUGUAGCGGUGAAAUGCGUAGAUAUAAGGAGGAACACCGGUGGCGAAGGCGGCCUGCUGGACUGUAACUGACGUUGAGGCCCGAAAGCGUGGGGAGCAAACAGGAUUAGAUACCCUAGUAGUC
rnacentral:rRNA from 1 species